CCAGGGGGCCGGGUGGCCGCCGGUCCUUCCGCUUGUCGGAGGGACGGGAGGAAAGUCCGAACUCCUCCGGACAGAGUGCCGGCUAACGGCCGGGCGGCGCGAGCCGACGGAAAGUGCCACAGAAACAUACCGUUCGUCCGCUCGUCGGACGGACAAGGGUGAAAUGGUGCGGUAAGAGCGCACCGGCGUCUCGGAGACGAGGCGGCCGGGUAAACCCCACUCGGAGCAAGGCCAAAUAGGGGAGCGCGAAGGGGACGUCCGGCCCUGCUCCCGGGUAGGCCGCAGGAGGCGGCGGGCAACCGUCGUCGUAGAUGGAUGGCCACCGCCGCGCCGCCCCGGGCAGGGCGACGCGGUACAGAAUUCGGCUUACAGGCCCCCUGGUAGC
rnacentral:RNase_P_RNA from 1 species